UCCUACGGGGGGCAGCAGUGAGGAAUAUUGGUCAAUGGGCGGAAGCCUGAACCAGCCAAGUCGCGUGAGGGAAUAAGGCCCUACGGGUCGUAAACCUCUUUUGCCGGGGAGCAAGGGCGGGGACGUGUCCCGGCCCGGAGAGUACCCGGAGAAAAAGCAUCGGCUAACUCCGUGCCAGCAGCCGCGGUAAUACGGAGGAUGCGAGCGUUAUCCGGAUUUAUUGGGUUUAAAGGGUGCGUAGGCGGAAAGGCAAGUCAGAAGUGAAAACCCAAGGCUCAACCAUGGGACUGCUUUUGAAACUGUCA
rnacentral:rRNA from 1 species